AGAGUUUGAUCCGGGCUCAGGAUGAACGCUAGCGGCAGGCCUAAUACAUGCAAGUCGAACGGGCUGGAGUAGCAAUAUUCCAGUUAGUGGCGCACGGGUGCGUAACGCGUAUGCAACCUACCUUUUAUUGGGGGAUAGCCCGAAGAAAUUCGGAUUAAUACCGCAUAAUAUCAUUUGAGGGCAUCUGAGGAUGAUUAAAGCUAAGGCGAUAAAAGAUGGGCAUGCGUGACAUUAGCUAGUUGGUGGUGGUAACGGCACACCAAGGCGACGAUGUCUAGGGGUUCUGAGAGGAUGAUCCCCCACACUGGUACUGAGAUACGGACCAGACUCCUACGGGAGGCAGCAGUAGGGAAUAUUGGGCAAUGGCCGCAAGGCUGACCCAGCCAUGCCGCGUGCAGGAUGAAGGCCUUCUGGGUUGUAAACUGCUUUUACCAGGGAAGAAAAUACCUUUGCGAAGGGAACUGACGGUACCUGGUGAAUAAGCACCGGCUAACUCCGUGCCAGCAGCCGCGGUAAUACGGAGGGUGCAAGCGUUGUCCGGAUUUAUUGGGUUUAAAGGGUGCGUAGGCGGCUUGAUAAGUCCGUGGUGAAAGCCAACAGCUCAACUGUUGAACUGCCAUGGAUACUGUCAGGCUUGAGUACAGACGAGGUAGGCGGAAUGGAUCGUGUAGCGGUGAAAUGCAUAGAUACGAUCCAGAACUCCGAUUGCGAAGGCAGCUUACUAGGCUGUAACUGACGCUGAGGCACGAAAGCGUGGGGAGCGAACAGGAUUGGAUACCCUGGUAGUCC
rnacentral:rRNA from 1 species